ACGACCUUACUUGAAGAGGAUCUGUUCUAUAGGAUCGUACUUUUGUAUCCUUGAGUUCUAAGGAGACAGGACCCCAAGCGUGAGUAAUAUUAUAGCAGUAGCAUGGUCAAAGUGUCAUGCACCGGUGCAGUUGAGGAUUGUUUCUAGCUAUGGAAAAAUGGUUUAGGAUGGUCACGCAAUUGUCUGAUAGAUU